AGGUGGGCUGUGAAUCUGGUGGGUCUCUGACAGCCAUCCCUUAUGGUGUGGAAGCUUCAUUCCUGUCACACAUCUUCAAAGGGCUCUGCUGGAGUCUCCUGGGCUUUUCCUUGUGGGUGAAGACCUCAAGGAGCCUCAAGAGGUUCUACCAGCAACCUCUUUUGGUGAACGAGCUCAUGCUGGUCACCACCAACUUCUUCCCCAUCCCCAUCAGGAAAUUGAUGGGAGACUGACGUGAGGCUGGAAACUUCACAGGACGCUCCCUGAGUUGCCUCCUCCAUCAUGCCACAAGGGCUGUUGAAACAGAACUGAAUGAAACUUCAUGUCCCAGGUGUGUUGAAACCCUCAAAUUUGUGACCAGCAAGAUACGAUU